AUUUAUAUUGUCGAUUUUUUAAUUUAUUUUUUUCAGACAAAAAAUGUAAUUGACCCAUUAAUUAAUUUUUUUUAGAAUGCAUUAUGUUUCAUGCGACUACCAAGCACAAAAGUCACAUUAAAUUUUGUCAUUUAUUACAAACAGCCAGACAGCAAGUACAAAAAUGAGUGUGACACAAUCACAUUACUUGAAAGCAAACAUUUUGUUAAUGUAUAGCAUUUUUUUUCUCUUAAAAAACCAAACACUGCAGACAAUAAGGAGGGUCAGAGGAAAGGAAAAAAGUAGCAUACACAGUUACAGAUGUUAAAGACAAAGUGAUAAUAUUAAACAGCACAGAACAAUCACCUUCCACAACAGCAAAAAUUUACAAACUCCAUAACAAGGGUGUGAUGGACCACUGAUUUCCCCACUGUGAUUGGUAGGUAAAAUAAACAUAUCAUUUUCAGUAAUAUAAAUAUAUUAUAAUAAUAAUAUAUGCUGCUGAAAAGGGAGUUUAAAGGAAUAGUUCACCAUAAAAUUAAAAUUUGCUGAAAAUGUAUUCACCCUCAGGCCAUGCAAAAUGUAGAUGAAAUUGAUUCUUCAUCAGAAACGAUUUGAAGAAAUUUUGCAUUAUAUCUAUUUGCUCAUCAGUGAAUCCUUUGCUAUGAAUGGGGGCCAUCAGAAUGAGUCCAAACGGGAUAAAAACUUCACAAUAAUCCAUUAUUGAGGUGUUUAACCUUAAACCUUCACUUCUGGCCAGAACGUGUGUCCAUAAUCCAUAAUAACUCUGGAAAAAAGUGGAAAAGUUCAGAACUGUUUUUGCUUGUAAACAUUGCUUGAUAAUUUGACGAUUUAAUUUGGAAAAACAGAUAACUCUGUUUUUAACAAUUUUCUAAAUUUUAUUUUUUUCAUUGUGUAUUCCAAUUAAUCUCAAUCAAAUUGCAGUCAGGUUAUUUUGAUUAGGUUAAAAAAUAACUAAAAAAUAAAACUAACAAUAAAACAAACAUGAUAAAAAAAAACAUGAUUUAGAGUUAUGUUUUUGCAAAUAAACUCUUCAUUUCAUUCCUGAUUCAGUCGAGACAACAUUUUCACUGAAGAAAGCAAUAUAAUGGAUAGAGGACUAUAGGUAUUUUACCUGGAAGAAGCGGUCUGAGGUUAAAAUAUCUAAAUUAUGAAUUUAUUACAAACACCAGAUUUUCACUUCACAAGAUGUUAAUUGAUGGACUUAAGUCCUGUGAAUUACUUGUAGAUUAUCGUGAUGCUUUUAUCAGCUGUUUGGACUCUCAUUCUGAGGGCACUAAUACUGCAGAGGAUCCAUUGAUGAACAACUAAUAUAAUGCUACAUUUCUCUAAAUCUGUUCUGAUGAAGAAACAAACUCCUCUACUCAUCCUGAGGGAGAGGUCAUUUUCAGCAAAUUUGGGUGAACUAUUAUUAAAAAACAAACCUAAGAUGGUUUGCUGGUCUUACCUGCUUUAAGCUGGUCUUCCAGCUUGGUCAAGCCAUUUGGUCUCCCAGUUUGACCAUACAAAUGCCCCUCUAAAACCAGCAACGCAGACCAGGUUUUUUUUUUCUUUUUCUCUCUCUCUUUUUUCUCUCAGCAGGGUUAUCAACAACAUAAUUUUUAAAACUUACAAAAGAUUUUUUUCAUAACACAACACUGUGAAGCAGAACUGCUGAUGUAGACAGAUACUCCAUGGGUGUUUUCUCACAUAGUUUUUCUUACAGCCAUUGUAAUUCCACAGAACAGCAGUGAAGUAGUCGUUGCGAGCUGUGAGCAGAGACUUAGGUGGGAGCACAGUACAUAUGGCAAUGCCAUCUGUUCAAUGAAGGGCAUCAGCAUAUUCUGGAAGAAAUUGUUUUGCAGGAAAAUCUAUGCAUUUGGUUAAAAAAAAAAAAAAAAAAAAACAAGUGACGAGUUGUCUGAACUGCUUCAACAAAGUUUGAGAUGCACUACAGAAUGUCAAGUGAACAUCAUUGACAUAGCGCUACCCACUGGCAUUUAGCCAUAGGGGUCUUACAGGACUUUCAGAAUUACAGAAGAUAUAAGAAAAUGGGAAAAGAACAAAGAUAUGUUGAAAUGAGGAGAUAUAUGCUAGACUUUAUGUCUAUGAUGGUCUUAAAGCUAAUUUCCCCUCACUAGUCCCAAGGCUCAUUUAGAUUUUAAUGAGGACUUUAACCAUUGUUCAUAAUUACUUCCACUUCUCAAAUGCAACCACAUCUGGAAACAACAGAGCAAUGAACCAACCAAUAAGACAAAGGCAUCAUUAAUACAUAUCACCAAUUAUUAAUCUGUACUGUUAUGUCAUUUUGCAACCUGGACUGUCAGAAUUCUGUCAGAAAACAACUUGCUUUAUAAUAAUUUAAUUUAAUUACAAAUGCAGUGAAAACAGUAAUAUUGUGCACUAUUAUUACAAUUGGAAAUAACUUUUUUCUAGUUUACUAUAUUUUAAAAUUUAUUUCUGUUAUGGACAAGCAUCCAGUUCUUUGAUUUAAGCAUCCAUUACUCCAGUCUUCACAUGAUCCUUUAGAAAUCAUUCUAAUAUGCUGAUUUGAUGCUCAAGAAACAUUUAUUAUUAUUAUUAUUAUUAUUAUUAUUAUUAUUAUUAUCAAUUUUACAAACAGUUUUUGUUGCUUAAUAUUUUUGCGGUAACCAUGAUACUGUCAGACUCUGCUCCGUGUUUUGAGUGUUUUGCUCCUCAUGUGCCUUUCUUGCCCUUAUUUGGUCCUUACUGUUCCUGUCCUUAUCAUUUCAUUAUUAGAUUAUUAAGUUCCAGCUCUGUGUUAUUAAUGAUCUCGUUUAGUCCUUCUGUUUAAGCCCUGUGUUUCCCUGUCUCUAGCGUCUGCUGUUAAAUGUCAUCUCCCCCUACACUCUGUAUGAUUUUCUCGUUGUGAUUCCUAUGAAUGAUUAAAGACUGUAAUAUAGUAACUCUCCUGCGCCUCUUCGUUCCUUGCUCCUGUGAAUCAUGACAGAACAGCAGACCAAGACAGAUGAUGGCUGAGGACAGGCUGUGGGGUUUGCGGCGGGCUGGUCGGAGGUUGGAAUGGUAUGUGGAGGAUUUCCUCGAGCUUGCUAAACAGCUGAGCUGGCACGAUGCCACUCUUGGUGCAUGCUUUCAGCUGGGGCUGGAUGAUGAGACAAUCCGCUGUGAUCUCCCCGUGUGUAAUUAUCCUCUGAUCGAGCUGAUAAAUCUUGUUCUUUAUUUAAAUGGCUCCAAUUAUGAAAUUGAAGAAAUAGAGGAAAAGUUUCAGUCUUGUCAUCCAGUCCAGUCUAAGGCACGCUGCGUCUCGCCAGCUCACUCCACGCCGGGAACCCCCACAUACCGCACCAACGGUUCGAACCGCCUGCUAAGCCCCAAAUACCCCUGAAUUAUCCGAAGCUCCACAAUAGUCCUCAGCUCAGAAAUGCCAAGCGUCCACGAGUCAAGUCAACCAGCCAUUCCCGAGUCAAGUUUGCAGACCGCGGCUCACUUAAGCCUACUGUCAUCCGUGGCACACUCAAGUUCACCGGCCAUUCAUGUGACAAGCCUACCGAAAAUUAAUAUGGCAAAACAGCCGACGGUUCGUGUGGCAAGCCUGCCAGCCCCAAAGCUCACUCCAGUGCCAGCUCCUAGAAAGCACCUUGCUGUGCCUGCUCCUCCAGAGCGCCCUCCAGUCCCAGCACCUCGUAGGCACGUCCCUGACCCCCAGGUAAGCCCGGUGAACUUGCUCCAGUGUCGGCUCCAGCCCCAAAACUCACUUCAGUGCCAGCACCACGUAAGCGCAAUCCUGAUCCCCUGUUAAACCCAGGGAGGGCUCCUGAUCCCCGUUAAGCCCAGGGAGGGCUCCUGAUCCCCCGUUAAGCCCAGUAAGUUCACCCAAGUAUUUUUUUUGGGGGGGGGGGGGGUAGUAGGGCUCCAGCCAUAGGGCUGGGGCCGUGGCCUCGGAAGCUGCUCUGCCAUGGCCUCCCGAGUCUCCUGAUCCACCAUGGCCUCCCAUGUCUCCUGAUCUGCCAUGGCCUCCUUUCUUGCCCUUAUUUGGUCCUUCCUGUUCCUGUCCUCAUUGUUUCAUUAUUAGGUUAAGUUCCAGCUGUGUUAUUAAUUAUCUUGUUUAGUCCUUAUAUUUAAGCCCUACAGUAUGUUUCCCUGUUUCUAGCAUCUGCUGUUAAAUGUCAUCUCCCCCUACACUCCGUGUGAUUUCCUCAUUGGCAUUGAUUAAAGACUUUGAUAAAGUAAUUCUCCUGCACCUCCUCGCUCCUGUGUAUCGUGACAGAUACACUACCCUUCAACCUACCAUACACUACCCCAAAUUUUUUUCAAAGAAAUUAAUACUUUUAUUUAGCAAAGACACAUAAAUUUUCACAAAAUAUUUAUUUUUCCACAUCAGUAUAUGCUGUUCAUUUGAAUUUUCUAUUCAUCAAAGAAGAAUGAAUAAUGGUUCCCAUAAAAUAUUAAUCAGCAAAAGCUGUUUUCAACAUAAUAAUGUAAUGAGAACCAUUAUUAAUAAUUGAGCACCGAUAACAAUUGACAAUGAUUGAGCACCAAAUCAGCAUAUUAGAAUGAUUUCUGAAGGAUCAUGUGACACUAAAGACUGGAUUUUAUUUUGAACAAAUAAAAUAAAUAGAAAACAGUUCUCUUUCAGUCGGUCACGUCAGUGACUGACGAAUUGGGAUCUAGCUUAGAGAGACCAAUCUACUUUGAGUGUAAACUAAAUGAGCCAAUGCACAUUGGCAUGCGAUUAUUGCAUCCAGAUGCCGCUGAUCACAGCGUGAGCAUAAAAAGGCAGCAGGUGCAAUGCAUACCAGCUUUUCGCUUUGGAGCAAAGUGACAAAAUCAUUCUGCUCCUACCAAACUGCUUCAUGUGUGACGAAUUCAGCAGGCUCUAGGCAGAUUCUUGUGUUUGCGGAUGGUGCUUCAGCUGUGGUCAUUCCUGUGUUGAGUGGAUUGCGCACUUCAGGCUGCAUUAUCGUGCUGCAAAUGGCCAUAUCCCCUGUGCGUCUCAGCACCUAAAAGAGCAUUUUCCUGAAAGAGUCUAUUUCUCUAAAAGAGCUUACAUGGGUUUGUCUUUGUAAAGAUGACGGAUCGUUUCACUCGUGAGUUUCUGGAAGCGGUUGUUACCUGGCACCUGGUGAUGGUCAUGAUCACUGUCUCACGUGUCGGGGCAUUAAACACGUUAAGGUGGUGUUUGCGGAUGAGUCAUGUUCCCAUUGUGGAAAGAUGGCCAUCUCGCCGAAGGGCAAGGCUCUGUUUCCUCUGGGGGCUGGGGUGGGGGGGUUCCGUUGCCUCUGCCUCUCCUGCAAUCUAGUGCUCGUCCUGGCAGCUGCCAGACGACGGCUACUUCCUGCAGUAGCAUGGGUGGUUUGAGGGUUACAGUGGUGGAAAACCCCUCAGGGAACCAACCCUUGAGAGACCAUUCAAAGAGCAUACCAACGAUAUCCUCCGGUGCUCCUCCCAACGAACGGAUGUCGAUCACUGCAUCAGAGGGCGGUGGCAGGGCCUGAAUCGGAUUCAGAGAUUUUGGCUAUGCUUUCCUUGGCCGCCGAGAAGGUUGGGCUCAAAUGGAAACCUCCACCACAUCCCGAGCCCUCGAGGUUGGACGACUGCUUUGUCGGGGUGACUCGCACUGGUUCUCAGCGCCCUGCCUCGGUGCCUUUCUUCCUGGAGGUGCAUGAGGAGCUCACUAGGUCAUGGACUGCACCUUUUACUGCCAGAAACCGAUCUGCUGGUUCCUCCUCCUCCCUCACCACCCUCAAUGGUGGGGUCCCCCCAGUGGAGCGGUCGGUUGCAACCGUGUCUCCUCUCCUGUGUCUUUAGGUACUCAUCUUGCCUGUCCAACGAUGCUUAUAUUGCCUUUGGAGAAGCUGUCUCCGCCUUACAUGCUACAGCGUUACUGUAGGUUAAUUGGGGCAAGGCACAAGGUCCUGCACAAGGGUGGUCAUGAUCUGUAAGUUC
ensembl:lncRNA